UACGUAGGCAGCGAGCGUUGUUCGGAGUUACUGGGCGUAAAGGGUGUGUAGGCGGUUGUUUAAGUUUGGUGUGAAAUCUCCCGGCUCAACUGGGAGGGUGCGCCGAAUACUGAAUGACUAGAGUGCGGGAGAGGUGAGUGGAAUUCCUGGUGUAGCGGUGAAAUGCGUAGAUAUCAGGAGGAACACCGGUGGUGUAGACGGCUUUCUGGACCGUAACUGACGCUGAGACACGAAAGCGUGGGUAGCAAACAGG
rnacentral:rRNA from 1 species